rnacentral:rRNA from 1 species
UACAGAGGGUGCAAGCGUUGCUCGGAAUCAUUGGGCGUAAAGGGCUAGUAGGUGGUCUCAUUUGUCUUGUGUGAAAUCCUUGGGCUUAACUCAAGAAGUGCGCAAGAAACGGUGAGACUCGAGUUCUGGAGAGGGUCGUGGAAUUCCCGGUGUAGCGGUGAAAUGCGUAGAGAUCGGGAGGAACACCAGAGGCGAAGGCGGCGACCUGGACAGAUACUGACACUCAACUGCGAAAGCGUGGGGAGCAAACAGG